GCAACUAUUGUACUACACCAAAAACCAAUUUGUUGAGGUAAGGAUGAAAGUUGUGGAAUAAUGCUCGUAGUGCUUAAUGAAGAUCGUACUAGGCUUUAUUUAUUUUGUAGACAUACUAGAAGUUCUUAGGAUCAACAAACCCUUAAAGCUAGGACAUAUAUACUUCAUGGUCGAGUUUUUUGUGUAAGAAGGUUUUAUUGAAUUCAAGUGUGGAACCAACCAAGCACGAGAGAAAG
rnacentral:misc_RNA from 1 species